UGGGGAAUAUUGCACAAUGGGCGCAAGCCUGAUGCAGCCAUGCCGCGUGUAUGAAGAAGGCCUUCGGGAUGUAAAGUACUUUCAGCGGGGAGGAAGGCGAUAAGGUUAAUAACCUUGUCGAUUGACGUUACCCGCAGAAGAAGCACCGGCUAACUCCGUGCCAGCAGCCGCGGUAAUACGGAGGGUGCAAGCGUUAAUCGGAAUUACUGGGCGUAAAGCGCACGCAGGCGGUCUGUCAAGUCGGAUGUGAAAUCCCCGGGCUCAACCUGGGAACUGCAUUCGAAACUGGCAGGCUAGAGUCUUGUAGAGGGGGGUAGAAUUCCAGGUGUAGCGGUGAAAUGCGUAGAGAUCUGGAGGAAUACCGGUGGCGAAGGCGGCCCCCUGGACAAAGACUGACGCUCAGGUGCGAAAGCGUGGGGAGCAAACA
rnacentral:rRNA from 1 species